AUUUUUUUAUCGCUUUCCACUUUCUCCUAUGUAUUUCUGCUCAGAUCACAGUGGAAUAAAGACUUUCUUUAGUGUGUGGAAGGGUUAUGAUAACCCACUGUAAACCAUUAGUUUUCUAUGAUGACGUACUCAGAUGGAUUCACUGAUAUUCCUGCAAGGAGGGCAAACUGGAAUCUGUGUUGGACACUGCCUGUUAGCAAUACAGCUGUGGGAUCUGACCCUGAAAAUGCUCACAUCUGCAAGAAUAUUUGCAGAAGUAAGGACUAGGCAGACUAGGCAUGUAUAGAAGCAUUUUCACAAUCAGCCUUCACGUUUUUGGGAUCCCUUGUGGACAGUGCUGACAGUCUGCUGGGAGGUACUGCCUGCCCUCGGCAGUGCCAUUGCUGGAGGUUCAUUUUAUUCAGCAUUUUAAGGAAGUGCCUCGCUCACAUUGUAACUUUACUGCAGUCUGUUAAUAUGAAUAAGUUAUAUCUCCACUUUUUCUUUCAUGUGUUCAGAUUCAAGGUCAGAUCCAGUUGGUCACUCUCUGGCAGUAUCUAAGGAAUUGCCAGCAUCCCAGAACGUACACAGUUUGAGAUUAGAAGCAGCUCCACCUUAUUACCAUGACAGUCAAUUGCAAGUGGAAGUGCAGUGGAUGAAAGGGCAAGAACCCCUGCUGCCUCUGGGACCAGAGCUUGAAAACGUCCUGUUUAGUGAAAUGGAUUGUCUUCCACAGAUAGAUGGGAGUAAAUUGUUUGAAAACUUCAGGAAAAUGAUAAAAGGAAGAGGAACCUGCUCUUUAAGAAUCUCAAGCAACUACAUGGAAGGUGUGAAAACAGAGAGUUGUUUGUGCAGAGAAAAGUAG
rnacentral:lncRNA from 1 species